UACCUUGUUGCUUCGGCGGGCCCGCCUUAACUGGCCGCCGGGGGGCUUACGCCCCCGGGCCCGCGCCCGCCGAAGACACCCUCGAACUCUGUCUGAAGAUUGUAGUCUGAGUGAAAAUAUAAAUUAUUUAAAACUUUCAACAACGGAUCUCUUGGUUCCGGCAUCGAUGAAGAACGCAGCGAAAUGCGAUACGUAAUGUGAAUUGCAAAUUCAGUGAAUCAUCGAGUCUUUAAACGCACAUUGCGCCCCCUGGUAUUCCGGGGGGCAUGCCUGUCCGAGCGUCAUUUCUGCCCUCAAGCACGGCUUGUGUGUUGGGCCCCGUCCUCCGAUCCCGGGGGACGGGCCCGAAAGGCAGCGGCGGCACCGCGUCCGGUCCUCCAGCGUAUGGGGCUUUGUCACCCGCUCUGUAGGCCCGGCCGGCGCUUGCCGAUCAACCCAAAUUUUUAUCCAGGUUGACCUCGGAU
rnacentral:rRNA from 1 species